ACACCCCCGGGCUCUGCGGCUGGACAGCACGAAGCCUCAUCCGGUCCUAAGGCAGGAAGCUAGGCCGAUGCUCCACUUGAGACGCUACCACCUGCCUGCUCCCAGGGACGCAGUGUGACCUUCAUUCCCAGAGAGCCCACGGUGCCAGCAGCUGUGAGACGGCCCAGCCCUGCAGGAGGCUGGCGCACCCCAGAAAGACCACGGCAAAGGGCUUGGCUCACAGCUUCAUGCACGUGGAAAAUGAGGCUCAGAGAGGGCGGCGAGUCUCUUGGUGUUGCCCAGCAGAAUUCAAAACCCUACACAGAGCUCGUACCUAAGUCCCAGCUCCGAACCAAGGACGAGUCCCAGAAGCCACGCUGCCCCGCUGCCAUCCUGGAGGCGCUAGGAACACAGUGACGUCAAAGGAUGCCCCAGGUCUGUGUGUGCUCGCCCUCUCCCGCAGUCACAGAACGAGCACAGGAGAGCCCCUCCUGCCCACGUGUCCUGGCGCAGGCCGGACGGGGAGCCGGGCGAGGACAGAGGGGCUGUCCCCAGAGGACGUGGGUACGCAGCCACACAGGGACGUGGUCAAGGGUCCCUGGGGUGGGCAGGAGGCCAGGCUUCUGGCGGAAGGCCAGGUGUCCUCUGCUCAUCCUCGGCUGUCUGGGGCGGGGCCAGCAUCGCUGCCCGAGCCCCCUCCUCCUGUCCCAGCAGUCGCCCUCUGCACCGAGAGCCGUCCCUGAGGAACACGCCUCGAGCAGCCGUGGUCUGAUGGAAACUCGUCAGCACCCCGCUCUCCGCCUCUCCUCCAGCUCCCCUCUUCCUGGAGGAGAGGCCUCUUCCGAGCUCUGUGCCGCGAGGUAGAUUUGAGAGACGUUGGCGGGGCGCGAACGUGUGCCUGCACGUGCGGGAGGCUGCGGGGCCUCAAGGUGGGCCUGGGAAGGCAGGGAGGCUGGAGCGUGAGCCCCGUGCACGGGCUCCUGCGGGCUCCGUCCACCUCCCGCCCCUGGGCCUGGGCAGCCUCAGCGCACUCGGGGGUCCCCGUGGGCACGUGGACUGAAUGGCGGGGAGCCGCCCUUCUCGGGCCUUGCUAGGUGCGCGUCACGGUGGAAACUUUCCCAGAGCGGGGUGUGCGGCGCACCUCGGGGGGGCCCCCUGCCUGCACCUGCCAAAGCCACAUCCAGGAAGAAGCUCGGAGCCACAGGCACCCUGGGAGGCUGCGGAGGCUCCAUCCACCCCAGAACCCGUGUCCUCACAGCCCCUGACACCUGUCCUGCUUCUGGGUUCUGCCUGCGGUGCCCAAGGACAUGGCUGAAUGUGCUGCAGCUGAAGUCCUCUGCUGCACCAGACCUUGACCAGGGGAGCCCAGGGGGACUGGAGCCCGCUCCUGCCCAAGACCUGAGCCCUGGAACUGUGGGGCGGCACCAGCUCGUGUGCAGAAGACAGAAGGGGUGGUGUGGACGGGAAGGACGAGAUGCGUGGCUCAGGAGUGAAGCCCUGUGUGACCCUGGAGGACGGGUCGUGGACCUGGGUGAGCCCAAGCCUGGCUCCUGCAGGCCUGGCUCUUCCCAGCUCCACAAAACACAAACACCAAGACCAAACCCCGAACACCGAAUUCCACGCUCCCCGUCAGUCCAUCUGUCCCAAGUCUUUCUCCAGGUCUCCCGCUGCGAGAGAUCCCGUCGUGCUUUCUCUUGUUGAGCUGACUUCCGGCGUGGGAGCAGGACCUCAUCUUUCACAGUGUCACCUCCAGAUCUGCUCCCACAGCUGCCCUCCCAGCUUUUCCCAGCGUGUCCACCUCUGUUCCCCUUCAGUAUGUAGACAUCCGUCCGACCUUGACCGUCGGUGGGCCUUGGUGAUGGCGACGGUGACGAAGAUGGUGAUGAAGACGGUGUUAGCCACAGUGACCGCCAGAGAUGCCCACGUCUUCAUCGCUGCAGUCUGAAGUUAGGUGACUGGCCCAGAAAGGGGAAAUCUGUGGCUAAGCUCAGGAGCUCGGGAUGGGAGGAUGACACUAGAUUAUCCAGGCCACGCAACUCAUCCCGCCCAUCCU